UUUCCUACGGGGCGCAGCCGUGAGGAAUAUUGGUCAAUGGCCGAGAGGCUGAACCAGCCAAGUCGCGUGAGGGAAGACGGCCCUACGGGUUGUAAACCUCUUUUGUCGGGGAGCAAAGCGAGUCACGUGUGACUCAUUGAGAGUACCUGAAGAAAAAGCAUCGGCUAACUCCGUGCCAGCAGCCGCGGUAAUACGGAGGAUGCGAGCGUUAUCCGGAUUUAUUGGGUUUAAAGGGUGCGUAGGCGGAAUGCCAAGUCAGCGGUAAAAUCGCGGGGCUCAACCUCGCUCCGCCGUUGAAACUGGCG
rnacentral:rRNA from 1 species